CGGGUUGUUGCUGGCCCCCAAACCGGGCACGUGCACNCCCUGUUUACGCAUCCACUCACACCUGUGCACCCUCUGUAGUUCUGUGGACCGGGAGACGUCGUCUUCCUUCCGUGGCUCUACGUCUUUACACACACGCCGUAGCGAAGUCUCAUGGAAUGUUUUUCGCGUUUAACGCAAUACAAUACAACUUUCAGCAACGGAUCUCUUGGCUCUCGCAUCGAUGAAGAACGCAGCGAAAUGCGAUAAGUAAUGUGAAUUGCAGAAUUCAGUGAAUCAUCGAAUCUUUGAACGCACCUUGCGCCCCUUGGUUAUUCCUCGGGGCAUGCCUGUUUGAGUAUCAUGAACACCUCAACUCUCGUGGUCUUCCAUGAUGAGCUUGGACUUUGGGGGUUUGCUGGCCCUGUGGCCGGCUCCUCUCAAACGAAUCAGCUUGCCAGUGUUUGGCGGCGUCACGGGUGUGAUAACCAUCUACGCUUGCGAUCGCCUGCCAGAUAACCCUCAGCGAUGAAGGUUCAUUGGGGCUCACAAAAGUCUCUCCACGGCGAGGACAAAUUUUGAAUGUUCGAUCUCAAAUCAGGUAGGACUACCCGCUGAACUUAAGCAUAUCAAUAAGCGGAGGAAAAGAAACUAACAAGGAUUCCCCUAGUAACUGCGAGUGAAGCGGGAAGAGCUCAAAUUUAAAAUCUGGCGUGCCUCCGGUCGUCCGAAUUGUAGUCUGGAGAAGCGUUUUCCGUGCUGGACCGUGUAC
rnacentral:rRNA from 1 species